GACGAACGCUGGCGGCGUGCCUAAUACAUGCAAGUCGAACGAGAGCGCCCGGUGCUUGCACUGGUCAAUCUAGUGGCGAACGGGUGAGUAACACGUGGGUAACCUGCCCAUCAGAGGGGGAUAACAUCCGGAAACGGAUGCUAAAACCGCAUAGGUCUUCGAACCGCAUGGUUUGAAGAGGAAAAGAGGCGCAAGCUUCUGCUGAUGGAUGGACCCGCGGUGCAUUAGCUAGUUGGUGAGGUAACGGCUCACCAAGGCCGUGAUGCAUAGCCGACCUGAGAGGGUGAUCGGCCACAUUGGGACUGAGACACGGCCCAAACUCCUGCGGGAGGCAGCAGUAGGGAAUCUGCCGCAAUGGACGCAAGUCUGACGGAGCAACGCCGCGUGAGUGAAGAAGGUUUUCGGAUCGUAAAACUCUGUUGUUAGAGAAGAACAAGUGCUAGAGUAACUGUUAGCGCCUUGACGGUAUCUAACCAGAAAGCCACGGCUAACUACGUG
rnacentral:rRNA from 1 species